rnacentral:misc_RNA from 1 species
CAACACUCAAGCCUAGCUUGGUCUUGGGCCUCGCCGGAAACGGCGGGUCUUAAAAUCAGUGGCGGCGCCUGUUGGGCCCUAAGCGUAGUAAUACUCCUCGCUACAGGGUCCCAGCGGACGCUGGCCAGCAACCCCCAACUUUCUAA